UGUUUAUUGUCCCUACCGCUGUGUUAUUAAAUGCCGCCUUAUUCCACUGCAUUGUCAAGAUUCUUGUUUGAAUGCAUUUGUCGCAAAAAUGAUAAAAUUACGAAAUAUAUACACGAUUUUACUGGUUGUAGAUAUAAUUUGUACUAUCGUCGACCAAUGCCUUUCCGACCCGAUUAACAGUGAAAAUACCAGGGUUUAUAGAGCUGCAAUCCCACAAUUCCCAUCGAUACCCUCAGUUCCACCUGUGAACCAAGCGGAUAUAAUUUUAAAGGCGCUACAAGAAGCUAUGAAGGUGCUUCAACAAAUGCCGAGACCGGCAUAACGCUCGAUGAACUGUCAAUUUGUCUUUCAACAAAUCGAUCGAUUCAAGAUAAACAGAACAAUAAAAAUAUUACUUAUGCAUUGGUAAUUUAAGUUUAUUAUGUUGUGUUAAAUAAUACAAAUAUAAAAUUAUUUACAGCAAUGUAAUACUAUGAAUGUAAAAUAAAAUAUCAUUUUAAAUACCAAA